ensembl:lncRNA
GCAAACGUUGAGACCAACCGUCAAAGGAGCACUUCCGCAUCGCCUGAAGAUUAAGUACCUGAGAAAGUCCCUAAAGCCAUCGACGGUUAGGAGGGAACCCAACUUCACUUUCACUGCUCAAAUAUUCUCCGUUGCACCAGCUCGCAGUGAGGGCCUCGCCGCUGGCGUCCAACCGUGUUUCGCGGUGGAAACCAAACACUGGCCUGUUUGGACUGGAUGUGAUCCUUGUUUCCGGGCGGAACGCUGCCAGAGGCGGAUUGAUGGCUCUCACCCAGAGGAGGACGUUUACAGGAAUAUCCUCCCGGCUGGAAUUCGCUUUUCGUUUUUUUUUUUUUAAAUUGGACUCCGAACACACGGUCGCAGUCAUGGCUGCGCGGCGGCAAAGUGUUCCCCGAGUGAUAAUGAAGGGAGUGCUGCUGUGCACAUCGCCGCGCACACAAACACGCGGUUGUAGUGUACUUGAGGGGCCGUCGCUGACAUGAUGCAUGGUGGGUACGGCCUUAACCUUAACCCGGAAUCCAACCUUGACCUGAACCCAGUCAUAAAUAACACUUCUGGUUCAUCACAACUUGGGCCUCGUUUGAUAGUUUUGGCCCACGAUGACGUGACGUACACCAAGUAACGGCUUGAGAUUGAGCAGACAGGCUGUAAAAUACAGUUAAUUGAACUGGAUGUUAAUUGUUCCAUCCAACUGCUUUCUGUCAAAUUCUCUGAAUUCCCAGAUAUCGGUAAAAAAAAAAAGAAAUGAGGCCAUUUCUGAGAAUAAAUGCUGGCUUAAAGGUACGUGCACACUCACAAGGAUGUACAGUGCGCAUAGACAUGCACACAUAUACGAUUUACAGUAGACUUUUUGUUGCGGCCUGCUAGUAAUCACACACACACACACACACACACACUAGUUGAAUCCAUAUGAAUGAAAAGGCUUCCUUGCCACAUUCCUUCCUCAGCAGCAGACGGACUUACCAGUUGCUUCCGCGGCGGAUCGAUGGAAGCAAAAUAGGACAAAAAUAGAGUUUAAAGUAUCUCAGGAAAGGAUCGAGUAGGGCGAGUGAAAGCGAGAAGGUCGGGUAGGAUGUGGAGAGGAGAAAAGGACAGAAUAAGGUUAAACGUGUGUGUACACAGAUACUCACACAGGCAGAAUUAAGUGUGGAAAUAUAUCCAUAUAUAUCCACACUUUUGAUUUAUUAACACUUAUUCAAUGUAUUUUUUGUUGAUUAGUAGUAUAAUCUCUGGCUUUGCGACAUAGAUGAAUCUCUACUACAGAGAGAAAGGG